rnacentral:rRNA from 1 species
GACGAACGCUGGCGGCGUGCCUAACACAUGCAAGUCGAGCGAGAAUCUUUAAAUUGAUUCCUUCGGGAUGAUUUUUAAGGAGGAAAGCGGCGGACGGGUGAGUAACGCGUGAGUAACCUGCCUUCAGGAGGGGGACAACACUUCGAAAGGGGUGCUAAUACCGCAUAACAUUGUUUUAUCGCAUGGUAUUACAAUCAAAGAUUUAUCGCCUGAAGAUGGACUCGCGUCUGAUUAGAUAGUUGGUGGGGUAACGGCCUACCAAGUCGACGAUCAGUAGCCGAACUGAGAGGUUGAGCGGCCACAUUGGGACUGAGACACGGCCCAGACUCCUACGGGAGGCAGCAGUGGGGGAUAUUGCGCAAUGGGGGCAACCUUGACGCAGCAACGCCGCGUGAAGGAAGAAGGUUUUCGGAUCGUAAACUUCUUUAAGUGGGGAAGAUAGUGACGGUACCCACAGAAUAAGCCACGGCUAACUACGUGCCAGCAGCCGCCGUAAAAC